rnacentral:rRNA from 1 species
UUUUGUGGAGGGUUCGAUUCUGGCUCAGGAUGAACGCUGGCGGCGUGCUUAACACAUGCAAGUCGAACGGGAUCCCAGGAGCUUGCUCCUGGGUGAGAGUGGCGAACGGGUGAGUAAUGCGUGACCGACCUGCCCCAUACACCGGAAUAGCUCCUGGAAACGGGUGGUAAUGCCGGAUGCUCCAGUUGACCGCAUGGUCCUCUGGGAAAGCUUUUGCGGUAUGGGAUGGGGUCGCGUCCUAUCAGCUUGAUGGCGGGGUAACGGCCCACCAUGGCUUCGACGGGUAGCCGGCCUGAGAGGGCGACCGGCCACAUUGGGACUGAGAUACGGCCCAGACUCCUACGGGAGGCAGCAGUGGGGAAUAUUGCACAAUGGGCGCAAGCCUGAUGCAGCGACGCCGCGUGCGGGAUGACGGCCUUCGGGUUGUAAACCGCUUUUGACUGGGAGCAAGCCCUUCGGGGUGAGUGUACCUUUCGAAUAAGCACCGGCUAACUACGUGCCAGCAGCCGCGGUAAUACGUAGGGUGCAAGCGUUAUCCGGAAUUAUUGGGCGUAAAGGGCUCGUAGGCGGUUCGUCGCGUCCGGUGUGAAAGUCCAUCGCUUAACGGUGGAUCCGCGCCGGGUACGGGCGGGCUUGAGUGCGGUAGGGGAGACUGGAAUUCCCGGUGUAACGGUGGAAUGUGUAGAUAUCGGGAAGAACACCAAUGGCGAAGGCAGGUCUCUGGGCCGUCACUGACGCUGAGGAGCGAAAGCGUGGGGAGCGAACAGGAUUAGAUACCCUGGUAGUCCACGCCGUAAACGGUGGAUGCUGGAUGUGGGGACCAUUCCACGGUCUCCGUGUCGGAGCCAACGCGUUAAGCAUCCCGCCUGGGGAGUACGGCCGCAAGGCUAAAACUCAAAGAAAUUGACGGGGGCCCGCACAAGCGGCGGAGCAUGCGGAUUAAUUCGAUGCAACGCGAAGAACCUUACCUGGGCUUGACAUGUUCCCGACAGCC